rnacentral:rRNA from 1 species
AGAUUGAACGCUAGCGGGAUGCUUUACACAUGCAAGUCGAACGGCAGCGCGGACUUCGGUCUGGCGGCGAGUGGCGAACGGGUGAGUAAUAUAUCGGAACGUGCCCAGUAGCGGGGGAUAACUACGCGAAAGCGUGGCUAAUACCGCAUACGCCCGUUCGGGGAAGCCGGGACCAGCAAUGGCCUGGUGCUGAUAGAUGAGCCGAUGUCGGAUUAGCUAGUUGGUGAGGUAAUGGCUCACCAAGGCGACGAUCCGUAGCUGGUCUGAGAGGAUGAUCAGCCACACUGGAACUGAGUACACGUCCAGACUCCGUACGGGACGCAGCGAGGUAGGGAAUAGUUGGAACGUAAGUCGGGCGACGAACGG